rnacentral:rRNA from 1 species
GUUAGAGUUUCGAAGGCGAUCAGAUACCGCCCUAGUUCUAACCAUAAACGAUGCCGACUGGCGAUCCGCCGGCGUUACUCCAAUGACGCGGCGGGCAGUCUGCGGGAAACCAAAGUCUUUGGGUUCCGGGGGAAGUAUGGUUGCAAAGCUGAAACUUAAAGGAAUUGACGGAAGGGCACCACCAGGAGUGGAGCCUGCGGCUUAAUUUGACUCAACACGGGGAAACUCACCCGGCCCGGACACAGUGAGGAUUGACAGAUUGAGAGCUCUUUCUUGAUUCUGUGGGUGGUGGUGCAUGGCCGUUCUUAGUUGGUGGAGCGAUUUGUCUGGUUAAUUCCGAUAACGAACGAGACUCUGGCUUGCUAAAUAGUCGCGCCGGCCGCCGUGCCGGGCGCUGACUUCUUAGAGGGACAAGUGGCGUUCANCCACGCGAGAUUGAUUAGAUGUUCGGGGCCGCACGCGCGCUACACUGAAGGGAUCAGCGGGUGUCCGCCCUUGGCCGGAAGGUCUGGGCAAUCCGUUGAACCUCAUUCGUGCUUGGGAUAGGGAGUUGCAAUUGUCUCCCUUGAACGARGAAUUCCCAGUAAGCGCGAGUCAUCAGCUCGCGUUGAUUACGUCCCUGCCCUUUGUACACACCGCCCGUCGCUACUACCGAUUGAAUGGUUUAGUGAGAUCCUCGGACGGGCCGCGGCGGGGCGCCCCCGGCUCCUCGCUCGUGCGCCCGGAAGACGAUCGAACUUGAUCAUUUAGANGAAGUAAAAUCGUAACAAGG